AUACGGAGGGUGCGAGCGUUGUUCGGAAUUAUUGGGCGUAAAGAGCAUGUAGGCGGUCUGUUAAGUCUGGUGUGAAAGCCCGGGGCUCAACCCCGGAAGUGCAUUGGAUACUGGCAGACUUGAGUAUGGGAGAGGAAAGCGGAAUUCCGAGUGUAGGAGUGAAAUCCGUAGAUAUUCGGAGGAACACCAGUGGCGAAGGCGGCUUUCUGGACCAAUACUGACGCUGAGAUGCGAAAGCGUGGGGAGCAAACAGGAGUAGAAACCCUAGUAGUCC
rnacentral:rRNA from 1 species